rnacentral:lncRNA from 1 species
GUUUAGUUACAGAUCCGGAAGAGCUAGAGCUGCUGCUGCUAGUUGUUGUUGUGGUUGUGGUGAGUCCACGUGGCUGAGAACGAAGCGGAGAAACCGGUGAACCGAGAUCUAGCUCGCGAAAAUCCGGUUUAUUGAUCUCCGAGGUUAAUGAUGAAUCACGGGGAGGGACCGGUUUACCUGACGGUGACAUUUUUUUAAUUUUGUUUUCCGGUUAACAAAAAAAAUCAAAACGAGAUCAGUGAGUGAUGGAAGGAAACUCUAACGGACGUUUCUCGGUACUACCGCUAAUGGUUUCAAAUGGCCGUUAAUGGAGACGGCGAAGAGUGGAGAAGGAGACGAAGGGAGGAGGAUGAGAUACUAUGAACAAAGGCAUGGAAGGGAAAGUGAAAGAGAUGGGGAUCUCGUGAUUUAAAAGGGUGAAGCAAAGAAUGAAUGUGAGUGUCUAGAGAGAGAGAGAAGAGAGAAGGUUCACAGAAGAAGAAGAAGAGUGAAGAUGGAGAUGCAGACCGAAUAUUAUAUAUUAAUUUAUUUCAUUUGACAAAGGAAAAUAAAUUCAUUAUUGUAGUACUAAAAAUCGGAAAGCAAAGGUAUUACUAAAAAUUUAAUUUGACAGGACCUUGAAUUAACGAACCCAUUAAAUAAUGGAUAAGCAGAAAUAGCAGAUAAGUUAUAAUUAUAUAUAUGCUUUUAAAUCAACUUUAAUUAAUAAUAAUCUAAAUUUUGUAAAAAAAAAUUAAGAUUUGUUUGAGUAAAGUAACUUUCUCUGCGAACUUUUUAGUUAUAAGAUGAACAGGAAAUUUCGGAAAUAACUAGUAUUAAUUAAAUGUACAAAAUAACACUUUCUUCUUCACCUGCUGCUUCACGAGACAUGUUUAUUUUUGCUUUAGUCUUUCCAUUUUAAUCGUUUAAUCAGAAAAUUUAUUUUUUAUAAAGAUGAGUGAGUAUACUUACAAAAUCUGCUUACUUCGAUACUCUUCAUUUUUUUUUUUUUUGGACAAAUGAUACUCUUCAUUUAUCUUUGUACUUUGACGCUUACAUUCCAGAAAGCCAACUCGCGGCGUAUAGGAAGUGACGUCUACGCUCUUAGACAAUCUAUCGUGUUGUGUCCUAAGAUAACAAUUGUAGAGAGCAAACGCGUAAUACAUUAUUGUUUCAUAUAAUUUUUCGCAUAAACGCUUUUGUUUACUUUCUUGUAAAGUGAAUUUGAAGUUGAUUAUGGAAGUAGAGAAAAUAUGUGUUAAAUAACUGCGUAUUUUCUUGUAGUUAUAAGCUUGUUAACUGCUUCCUGUUUUACAAUAAAAAACACUUUCUUUCAAUGUAUUAGCAAUAGCAAUAGAAUAGCAACUAAAUGAAAAUAGAGAGUAUGUCAUACAAGUCCCACGCACAUAAAUACACUUUAAGGUUACUUGUAAGAAGUUAAUACUACUAACACAAAAUCCGAUAACAUGUUUUAAUGUUCAAAAUCAGUCAACUUAAACAAGGAGUAUUUAUUGACUAGUUUACAUAAGUUCAUUGUAUUGGCAAUUAAAUAAAAAUAAAGAGUCUUCCAUAUCAUACCAGUAUUUCGCACAGAAAAAUCCACUUGAUUACUUGUUGGCAGAAAAAAAAAAGUUAUUCUUGGGUUCACACUUUAUAUAGUGAAUUUCUAAAUUCACCAACCAAUAGUAUUUCAUUGUUUCAAAUUCAUAUUUUUUAGAAAAAAAAUAAAAUAUUGUCUAGUUAUAUUAUGUUUUUAAAAUAAAAGCAUAAAAAAAAGAAUAUUGUAGUUACAGAAAAAAAAGUUUUUAAAAUUUUUUUAAACAUCGUCAGCAAAACACUAAACUCUAAAUUCUUGGAUAAAACCUAAAUCUUGGAUAAAUCUUAAACUCUAAAUCAAAAACACUAAAUCCUAAACCAUAAAUCAUAAACCCUAAACCCUUGAUUUAGAGUUUAGGAUUUAUCUAAGGGUUUAGGAUGUAGGAUUUAAGAUUUAAGGAAUAGUGUUUAGUGUUUUGCUGACGACGUUAAAAAAAUAUUUUUUUUUGUAAUUACUAAUAUUUAUUUAUUUAUUUUUAUUUAUUUUUAUUUUAAAAAUAUAAUAUAACUUAAAAAUAUUUUGUUUCCUUUUUAAAAAGAUAUUGAAUAUAAAACAAUACAAUCUUAUUGGUUUGUGAAGGGUUCACCUAGGGGUGAACCCAAAAAUAAGUAAAAAAAAACCUCCCAGCACAUUAAACUGGUGAAUUAGAGCACUGAGAUGAAAGCUUAUAUGAAAGUUGAUACAUCCAAUACAUUGCCAGCGGAUACAGAAAAAGUGUUUAGAAUUCUCACAUUAUAAAAAGAAAAUUUAACCAACUCUGAACAAAAAGUUGGCCACUGAUAAUCACACACAUAUAUAUAGUAAGUAUAGACUAGACUUACUUACACUCAAUUCUUAUACAUACAUUUUAAUUCAAUUUAUUUGUAAAUAGUGUUAACAAAAAUAUUGCCGCAAAAAGUUAACAAGCAUAAUAGGUUUGGGUAUGAUAGCAACCAAUAAUCACAUCGGUGUUAGACGAUCAUAACUCCAGUUUUUUAACUGAGGUUCUUAAUUUCAGCUAAGAGACGCUUUUUACUUUUUCUUAGAUUUUAAUUAAGAAAAACUAAGAACCGUCUCUUAAAUAAUAUAUAUAAAAGUCAUUUUUAACCGAAAAAUGAAAAAAAAUGUCAAAUCGUGAAUUAAGAACUCCAGCUAAGAGACCAGAAUUAAUCAUGUCCUAAGUUACCUCGUAGUUUGCAAGGCUCUAUUGGUUAUAGAAUGUAGUUUCUGUUUCUUUAUUCUAUUUUUAACACACUUUAUAUACGCUUACAUUUACAUGUUUACAUAUACACCCAAAUGUAAACAUUACAUCUAAUUAAUACGAUUAAAUGUCGAUCCGAAUGUUAUAGGAUAUCAGAAUUUUAAGUAAACUUUAAUAAUUCAGUUUGUACAACUAGGUGCACAAAAAAAAGAGAAAGAACAACUAGUGUUUAAAGAUUAAAUCAGUUAACUCAGUUUUAAAAGUUAUAGUGUUAUACUAUCCACACGACAACAAUACUAGACUAUUUUCAAUGAUUUAUCCUAUUUUUCACUGUAAAAUAUACUAAUUCUAGAAUUGUGAUAUAAUCCAACGGUAUUCUAUUUUAUAGUAAAAAUAGAGUAAUGAAAAAAAAACAUUAUUCUAUAUAUAUAACAAACUCAUUUUUUCUUUUAUUAUAUAGUAAAAAAGAGAGUAUUACUGAAAUAUUUUUACUAUAAAUUCUAUUUUAAACUGAAAAAUAGACUGGAAUUGGAGAAUGCACUUAGAUGUGAUUUGUCCAACAACAACAUAUAUAUAUAUAUAUACACAGAUAAAAAUCAGAAAAUAAUAGCAUUAGGUUGUGACAAAGAUAUAUGUACAUAUAUGUACUCAUUGCAAUUUUUCAACAGCUGGAAACAGAUUCUGUUAUAAACAUAUAUGAGCUUCCACUUUUUAUAUUCGACCAUUUACGUCAAAGUAAUUGAAUAUUGAAUCGUUAAAAGUGUGUGGUGUGUUUAUAACAUAUAUGUAUAUGUCAAUAAACAAAAGCAAAACGUUUGUGUCAAUUAUAUGUAUGCCAAAGUAUAUCUUAGUUGAUAAUGGAGCGGUUAAAGCAUCAACAGUGGUGUAUGGUUGAGUCUCUCAACAAAGAUAAAAUAUAGAGAACUUUUAUCCUAAUUAACCAAAUACCCUAAAUCUCACAAUGUUAUAUUUUUUUCUAUAGAUACAAACUAGUCACAUCAUAGGUAUUUUCGUUUUUUUAGAGUUUUAAACCAAUUCACCCUAAAAUAUAAUAAAUUAUAUCUUUUAAUCUUUUGUAUAAUUAGAGUAUUUAGAGGUUGAUACAUGGAAAAAAGUCUCUUGACUUUCAUAAACAAUAUUUCUCUCUUUUUUUUUGCAUUUACUUUCUAUUUAUUAUCUUUAAUUUUAAUUAUGAUAAACUCACACAAUUUAACCAGUGUGCAUGCUCUUACAGUAUUUUCUUUGGUAUAAUAUUUUUAAAAUAGGGUUUUAAGCAAUAUACCGAGUUGUUCUUAAGCCAGUUACAUGAUUUAUUACAAAAUAUUUUUUUUUGGAACUCACACAAGUUAAUAUUAUAUUCUAGUAGAACAUAGUCAUAUAGUUAAAUUUGAACCAAUUAGAAAAUUACAAAAUGUUCUUACAAGUUAUAAUUUUACACGAGCGUGGUAUAGUGGGGUUUGGUAUACCGACAUUUGCAUAAUUUUAUAUGUUCUUAUCCAAAACUUGUUUCACAACAAGAAAUUAUCAAACGUAAAAAUAUUAUGUCAUCAUCUUCCUCUCUCCCGAAAAAAAUGUCUUUGACAUAGAGUAACAAAUUUUUUUUUUACUAUGCUUUAAUCAUAUAAUCCUCAAUGUUAUGUAUUUCUACAUAACAUUUUGUGUUUUUUUUACACAAGGGUUUUCUUACUUCAAAUUUUGUUUAAGCAUAUAAUAUACCGAAAUCUUUAGUUAUACUUCAGAUGCUUCUAACCACACGUUUUUAUGUGCGUAUACUUUGAAAAUAUGUCAUCAUGUAUAAAAUAGAUGGUGGUUUCUUUUGGAACAAGUUAGGUUGUUUAAAGAGAAUGAAAAGAAAAAGCUAAUAAAACUUAAUUCAAAAGCUUCUCUUUUAUAGUUAUUUAGUCUCGCCCGACUCAAAAGUUCCCAAUAGUGAUAAACUUGAAUCUUGAUGUCAUCUUCACACUAAAAGGAAGCAUUUACGUAACACGUCAAACUAAAUUUUAUAUUGAAUGUAUUAUGAAUAAUUCAUUUGCUGCUGCAUACUUGGCAUGUACUGUACAUUACGGCUUAGUUAAACAUAGUUACAUUAUACAGUAAUCUGUCGUCAAAAUUGAAGGACUGGUGGUGAAUUUAUUGAGCAACGACGUUAUAGUGAUGGAGAAAGAUGCGUUUCUAUAUAUCUUUAUUGGUAGUACUCAGGGCAAGUCUUCUAUGAAUCUUGAAUCCAGCUUCGAGAUUUCAUUUAAAUGCAAGUGUCCUAGAAGUGUUGAAUUUUUCAUUGUCUAUAGCUGUUAUGGCUAUGAAUGAUGACAAAUAAAAAAGUGGUGAUAUGCAAUCUACACUCUUUUUAAUUGUUAAAAAGGGAAUUUGAAAAGCAAAAUAAUAUGGGUAAAUUUAUUUUGAUUAAUACAACUAUGUAAAAAACCAUAUUUAUUCGCCAUGAUUACAAAUUAUAAACAUCUCGUUGGUUUUAUAUGGGUUAAGUCAAAACCUAUGGUGUGUUUCUUUUCUGUCUUUCGAUAAAACGUGGAGUGUUUACAUUUUCAAAAUAUCAUCAUAACUGAUCUGGACUGGACUAUAUUCCACUCGCUGCUACAUCCUUGGUGAAACAAGAUUUGACUUUACUCUGGUCCGAUUGCAUUUCUAAACCGUGAUCUAUUUAUGGAGAGAACGCAAUAACACAUGUCACAACAAGCCAUGUUACUCGUCUCUUUCCCGAAGCGGAGAAACCGGUGAACCGAGAUCUAGCUCGCGAAAAUCCGGUUUAUUGAUCUCCGAGGUUAAUGAUGAAUCACGGGGAGGGACCGGUUUACCUGACGGUGACAUUUUUUUAAUUUUGUUUUCCGGUUAACAAAAAAAAUCAAAACGAGAUCAGUGAGUGAUGGAAGGAAACUCUAACGGACGUUUCUCGGUACUACCGCUAAUGGUUUCAAAUGGCCGUUAAUGG